CUGGACUGAGGCUGGCGAACAGGAAGCAGAAAGGGCUCUACCCGUGCUGUGGGCAAGAGCAUCUCAUGCAGAAGAAAACUCAAGCCCCACAGGGCGUGGAUUUAGGAGCUGGAGGAACAGAUGGACAAGAUUUCUGAUUCAAGCUCCAGAUCAAUUUUUGCACUGACAGGUUUUCUAGUUGUUCUCUGAAGAAGGGCUGUAUGGCUAUAAGCUAUUUCAUCACAACCAGAAGCAGAAGACCAAGACAGUGAAACAUAGUAUUCUGGAUAUAUACUGAAGGUUUUUCUGUGAAUCCUUUUAAAAAUAGCCCGGACUGAGGCAGCUGGAGAGCUUUCAAACAAGCUAUUGAGGACCUGAUAGAUGCUGAAUAAGGACCUGAUAGAUGCUACAUGCUGAAUAAGAAAUGAAGCACAUGAACAAAUGUGAGCCUUUUUGGAGAUGAAGAGGAAGAAAAUCUGAAAUAAGAGAACACAUUAA
rnacentral:lncRNA from 1 species